CCGCGUCUGAUUAGCUGGUUGGUGAGGUAACGGCCCACCAAGGCGACGAUCAGUAGCCGGCCUGAGAGGGUGAGCGGCCACAUUGGGACUGAGACACGGCCCAAACUCCUACGGGAGGCAGCAGUGGGGAAUAUUGCACAAUGGGGGAAACCCUGAUGCAGCGACGCCGCGUGAGUGAAGAAGUAUUUCGGUAUGUAAAGCUCUAUCAGCAGGAAAGAAAAUGACGGUACCUGACUAAGAAGCCCCGGCUAACUACGUGCCAGCAGCCGCGGUAAUACGUAGGGGGCAAGCGUUAUCCGGAUUUACUGGGUGUAAAGGGAGCGUAGACGGUAUGGCAAGUCUGAAGUGAAAACCCGCAGCUUAACUGUGGGACUGCUUUGGAAACUGUUAAACUAGAGUGCAGGAGAGGUAAGUGGAAUUCCUAGUGUAGCGGUGAAAUGCGUAGAUAUUAGG
rnacentral:rRNA from 1 species